rnacentral:lncRNA from 1 species
ACAAACUGCUGGAAGGAAGGAAGGAAGGAAGGAAGGAAGAGAGGAGGGAGGGAGGAAGAGAGGGAGGGAGGGAGGAAGGAAGGAAGGAAGGGAGGGAGGGAGGGAGGGAGGGAGGGAGGGGAGGGAGGGAGGGAGGGAGGGAGGAAGGAAGGAAGAGAGGAGGGAGGGAGGGAGGAAGGAAGGAAGGGAGGGAGGAAGAGAGGGAGGGAGGAGGAAGGAAGGAAGGAAGGAAGGAAGGAAGGAAGGAAGGAAGGAAGGAAGGAAGGAAGAAGGAAGGAAGAGAGGGAGGGAGGGAGAAGGAAAGGAGGAAGGAAGGAAGAAGGAAGGAAGGAAGGGAGGAGGGAGGAAGGAAGGGAGGGAGGAAGGAGGGAGGGAGGAAGAGAGGGAGGGAGGGAGGAGGAAGGAAGGAAGAAGGAAGGAAGAAGGAAGGAAGGAAGGGAGGGAAGGAAGGAAGGGAGGGAGGAAGGAAGGAAGGAAGGGAGGGAGGAAGGAAGGGAGGGAGGAAGGAAGGGAGAAGGAAGGAAGAGAGGGAGGGAGGGAGGAAGAGAGGGAGGGAGGAAGAGAGGGAGGGAGGGAGGAAGAAAGGAAGGAAGGAAGAGAGGAGGGAGGGAGGAGGAAGGAAGGAAGGAAGGAAGAAGGAAGGAAGGAGGAAGGAAGGAAGGGAGGAGGGAGGAAGAGAGGGAGGGAGGAAGAAGAGAGGGAGGGAGGAAGAGAGGGAGGGAGGGAGGAAGAAGGAAGGAAGGAAGAAGGAAGGAAGGAAGGAAGGAAGGGAAGAAGGGAGAAGGAAGGAAGGGAGGGAGGAAGGGAGGGAGGAAGGAAGGAAGAGGUGGAGGAGGGAAGGGAGGGAGGAAGACAAAAUGUGUAUCAUUUAGGGAGAGGUGUAAAUGGACAAUGAGCCCAUUAGCAAGUGAUAUGCUUUCCUUUCUGAGGUGUCACGGGUUCUGUGCUGCUUGGGGGACAGGAAGAUGUCUAGGAAUACCUGGGUGUCAAAAAAAGAGGAGAGAGUGGGAGAGGGGCAGGGAACAGAGAAGAGGGAGACAAUACACAGCAGCCUUGGGACUUGGUUCUGGAGCAAGAGGGAGAGAGCUGUGGACAUCGUUAAGGGGCAAAGCUAGAUUCUUGUGUCCUAUCAGCUCCUUCCAUGCUUCAGGGUAG